rnacentral:rRNA from 1 species
ACUCCUACGGGAGGCAGCAGUGGGGAAUAUUGCACAAUGGGCGCAAGCCUGAUGCAGCCAUGCCGCGUGUAUGAAGAAGGCCUUCGGGUUGUAAAGUACUUUCAGCAGUGAGGAAGGUGGUAGUGUUAAUAGCACUAUCAUUUGACGUUAGCUGCAGAAGAAGCACCGGCUAACUCCGUGCCAGCAGCCGCGGUAAUACGGAGGGUGCGAGCGUUAAUCGGAAUUACUGGGCGUAAAGCGCAUGCAGGUGGUUUGUUAAGUCAGAUGUGAAAGCCCGGGGCUCAACCUCGGAAUUGCAUUUGAAACUGGCAGACUAGAGUACUGGUAGAGGGGGGUUAGAAUUUCAGGUGUAGCGGUGAAAUGCGUAGAGAUCUGAA